rnacentral:rRNA from 1 species
CAUGCAAGUCGAGCGGUAGAGAGGUGCUUGCACCUCUUGAGAGCGGCGGACGGGUGAGUAAUGCCUAGGAAUCUGCCUGGUAGUGGGGGAUAACGCUCGGAAACGGACGCUAAUACCGCAUACGUCCUACGGGAGAAAGCAGGGGACCUUCGGGCCUUGCGCUAUCAGAUGAGCCUAGGUCGGAUUAGCUAGUUGGUGAGGUAAUGGCUCACCAAGGCGACGAUCCGUAACUGGUCUGAGAGGAUGAUCAGUCACACUGGAACUGAGACACGGUCCAGACUCCUACGGGAGGCAGCAGUGGGGAAUAUUGGACAAUGGGCGAAAGCCUGAUCCAGCCAUGCCGCGUGUGUGAAGAAGGUCUUCGGAUUGUAAAGCACUUUAAGUUGGGAGGAAGGGCAUUAACCUAAUACGUUAGUGUUUUGACGUUACCGACAGAAUAAGCACCGGCUAACUCUGUGCCAGCAGCCGCGGUAAUACAGAGGGUGCAAGCGUUAAUCGGAAUUACUGGGCGUAAAGCGCGCGUAGGUGGUUCGUUAAGUUGGAUGUGAAAGCCCCGGGCUCAACCUGGGAACUGCAUUCAAAACUGUCGAGCUAGAGUAUGGUAGAGGGUGGUGGAUUUUCCUGUGUAGCGGUGAAAUGCGUAGAUAUAGGAAGGAACACCAGUGGCGAAGGCGACCACCUGGACUGAUACUGACACUGAGGUGCGAAAGCGUGGGGAGCAAAACAGGAUUAGAUACCCUGGUAGUCCACGCCGUAAACGAUGUCAACUAGCCGUUGGGAGCCUUGAGCUCUUAGUGGCGCAGCUAACGCAUUAAGUUGACCGCCUGGGGAGUACGGCCGCAAGGUUAAAACUCAAAUGAAUUGACGGGGGCCCGCACAAGCGGUGGAGCAUGUGGUUUAAUUCGAAGCAACGCGAAGAACCUUACCAGGCCUUGACAUCCAAUGAACUUUCCAGAGAUGGAUUGGUGCCUUCGGGAGCAUUGAGACAGGUGCUGCAUGGCUGUCGUCAGCUCGUGUCGUGAGAUGUUGGGUUAAGUCCCGUAACGAGCGCAACCCUUGUCCUUAGUUACCAGCACGUUAUGGUGGGCACUCUAAGGAGACUGCCGGUGACAAACCGGAGGAAGGUGGGGAUGACGUCAAGUCAUCAUGGCCCUUACGGCCUGGGCUACACACGUGCUACAAUGGUCGGUACAGAGGGUUGCCAAGCCGCGAGGUGGAGCUAAUCCCACAAAACCGAUCGUAGUCCGGAUCGCAGUCUGCAACUCGACUGCGUGAAGUCGGAAUCGCUAGUAAUCGCGAAUCAGAAUGUCGCGGUGAAUACGUUCCCGGGCCUUGUACACACCGCCCGUCACACCAUGGGAGUGGGUUGCACCAGAAGUAGCUAGUCUAACCU